rnacentral:rRNA from 1 species
UACGUAGGGUGCAAGCGUUGUCCGGAAUUAUUGGGCGUAAAGAGCUCGUAGGUGGCCUGUCGCGUCGGCUGUGAAAACUCGGGGCUCAACUCCGAGCUUGCAGUCGAUACGGGCAGGCUAGAGUUCGGCAGGGGAGACUGGAAUUCCUGGUGUAGCGGUGAAAUGCGCAGAUAUCAGGAGGAACACCGGUGGCGAAGGCGGGUCUCUGGGCCUUACCUGACGCUGAGGAGCGAAAGCGUGGGGAGCGAACAGG